AUGGAGGGGUCAACGAGUCAGGAUCAUGUGAUUGGGAUCCCGGUCAACAGCACGGCCUACGGCAUAGAGGAGCCCGACUUCGUGGAGGUGGAGGAGGCCAUCACCCCCCCUGAUCAUGGCGGAUUCGUCUCCGGUUCGUUCCAAUCUAUCAACAACAACGACGGCGAUUCCAACCGCUCCACGGCCACCGAUCGCGAGCAGACCAGCCAAGUCCGCAGGAAGAGGGGAAAGAUCGCCCAGGGCAUCAAAGAACACGUGACUCUGGGGCCAAAGCUGUCGGAGACGGUCAAGGGGAAGCUCACGCUGGGCGCCAGGAUCCUGCAGGCCGGCGGCGUCGAGAAGGUGUUCCGGCAGUGGUUCUCCGUGGACAAGAACGAGCGGCUGGUGAGGGCGUCGCAGUGCUACCUGUCCACCACGGCGGGUCCCAUCGCCGGGAUGCUCUUCGUCUCCACGGAGCGCGUCGCCUUCCGCAGCGACCGCUCGCUGGCCGUGGCCGCCCCCGACGGCGCCAAGCUCCGCGUGCCGUACAAGGUGACGAUACCGCUGCGCAAGGUGCGGCGCGCCGUGCCCACCGAGAACAAGCACAAGCCGGAGCAGCGCUACAUCGAGGUGGUCACCAACGACGGCUUCGAGUUCUGGUUCAUGGGCUUCGUCAGCUACCACCGGUCGCUGCAGCACCUGGAGCAGGCCAUUGCGCAGGCGCGGCGAUGA
rnacentral:rRNA from 1 species